rnacentral:rRNA from 2 species
UGUUUUCUGCUCAGAUUGAACGCUGGCGGCGUGCUUAACACAUGCAAGUCGAGCGAGAAAGUUCUCUUCGGAGAAUGAGUAGAGCGGCGCACGGGUGAGUAACGCGUGGAUAAUCUACCCUGAAGAUCGGGAUAACAGUUGGAAACGACUGCUAAUACCGGAUAUCCUGCAUAUUUAACUUUAUGUGGUAAAGGCGGCCUCUAUUUAUAAGCUGCCGCUUUGGGAUGAGUCCGCGUCUCAUUAGCUUGUUGGUGGGGUAAUGGCCUACCAAGGCUACGAUGAGUAGCUGGUCUGAGAGGAUGAUCAGCCACACUGGGACUGAAACACGGCCCAGACUCCUACGGGAGGCAGCAGUGGGGAAUAUUGCGCAAUGGGGGAAACCCUGACGCAGCGACGCCGCGUGCGGGAAGAAGGCCUUCGGGUCGUAAACCGCUGUCAGGAGGGAAGAAACUGUUAGGGUAUAAUACGCCCUUUCACUGACGGUACCUCCAAAGGAAGCACCGGCUAACUCCGUGCCAGCAGCCGCGGUAAUACGGAGGGUGCGAGCGUUAAUCGGAAUCACUGGGCGUAAAGCGCACGUAGGCGGCGCAUCAAGUCAGGCGUGAAAGCCCUCGGCUCAACCGGGGAAUUGCGUUUGAAACUGGUGCGCUGGAGUCUCGGAGAGGUUGGCGGAAUUCCAGGUGUAGGAGUGAAAUCCGUAGAUAUCUGGAGGAACACCGGUGGCGAAGGCGGCCAACUGGACGAGAACUGACGCUGAGGUGCGAAAGCGUGGGUAGCAAACAGGAUUAGAUACCCUGGUAGUCCACGCUGUAAACGAUGGAUAUUAGGUGUCGGGGGUUACCUUCGGUGCCGCAGUUAACGCGUUAAAUAUCCCGCCUG